GAUGAACGCUGGCGGUCUGCUUAACACAUGCAAGUCGAACGGAAUCCUUAGGGAUUUAGUGGCGGACGGGUGAGUAACACGUAAGAACCUGCCUCUAGGACGGGGACAACAGUUGGACACGACUGCUAAACCCGGAUGAGCCGAAAGGUAAAAGACUUAUCGCCUAGAGAGGGGCUUGCGUCUGAUUAGCUAGUUGGUAGGGUAAAGGCUUACCAAGGCGACGAUCAGUAGCUGGUCUGAGAGGAUGAUCAGCCACACUGGGACUGAGACACGGCCCAGACUCCUACGGGAGGCAGCAGUGGGGAAUUUUCCGCAAUGGGCGAAAGCCUGACGGAGCAAGACCGCGUGGGGGAGGAAGGUUCUUGGAUUGUCAACCCCUUUUCUCAGGGAAGAACGCAAUGACGGUACCUGAGGAAAAAGCAUCGGCUAACUCCGUGCCAGCAGCCGCCGUAAAAC
rnacentral:rRNA from 1 species